CCCAACUAGCUUUUAAUUACAUAGAAGGAAAUAAAACAAUUUAGAUUUGAGUUUCUAUUCAAAAGACACACUGUUUUGUACAAUAGUUGUGCUAUUUUAUUGAUUAUAUUUCUGAUUGCCAGGUGUUAUAUAUGGCUUCAAUGUGAACGCAGGCAAAGUUAUCCAGGAGUCAGCUGCAAAGAAAGGAGUAAAAAUUAAACUUCACAAAAUCAUUUACCGUCUUGUUGAAGAUUUGCAGGAAGAACUGAGCAGCAGAUUGCCCUGCACUGUGGAAGAGCACACAGUAGGUGAGGCUUCUAUACUAGCUACCUUUUCCAUAACAGAAGGGAAGAAAAAAGUUCCUGUGGCUGGCUGCAGAGUCCAAAAAGGACAGCUAGAAAAGCAAAAAAAAUUUAAAUUAAUCCGUAAUGGAGAUAUUAUUUGGAAGGGCUCAUUAACCUCCCUGAAACACCACAAAGAUGACGUUUCAGUCAUCAAAACUGGAAUGGAUUGUGGUCUCAGUUUGGAUGAAGAAAUGAUAGAAUUCAAAGUGGGAGAUAGAAUUGUUUGUUAUGAAGAAAAUGAAGUUCUAGCCAAGACCUCUUGGGAUCCAGGAUUUUAAAAUUGUAUUAAAAAUAUAAAGAUUAAAUAUUUUGCUUUUUAAUAGAA